CAAGGUUCUCCGCGCGGCGGAAUCUCGCCCAACUCCCCCAGGGUCGGAAGGCAGCAAGGGUAAGUGAGCUCUACCGGGUGCGCGGGGAACCCCUUUUUAU
rnacentral:SRP_RNA from 1 species